rnacentral:rRNA from 1 species
UACGUAGGCAGCGAGCGUUGUUCGGAGUUACUGGGCGUAAAGGGUGUGUAGGCGGUUUUCUAAGUUUGGUGUGAAAUCUCCCGGCUCAACCGGGAGGGUGCGCCGAAAACUGGGAGACUAGAGUGCGGGAUGGGAGAGUAGAAUUCCUGGUGUAGCGGUGAAAUGCGUAGAUAUCAGGAAGAAUACCGGUGGUGUAGACGGCUCUCUGGACCGCCACUGACGCUGAGACACGAAAGCGUGGGUAGCAAACAGG